CUUUACAGGACUUUGGUGUCUCGUAUUAGGCUCAGCAUCUUGUUCACAUGGGCUGUCAAAUGAAUCGAAGAUACUCCAUUUCCCAAGUUCGGUCAGAAUUUCCACGCUACCUGUGUCGUCGUUAAGGCCGAAGUUCCAGAACUAAUCGCAGGGUGCUUUUGAGACAUAGGGGUAUUUUGACCACAAAAUUACCUCAACGAAUCCUCAGCUUUGUACCAUUCGUUCUCGUAAGCCUGCAUCCACAUCGGAUUAGAGCCCUCGGAACUGUGGAUAUUGGUAUUUGGCACACGACCGGUACCGUUUGUAGUUCUGGUGAAAUCCGAAUCCGAAGAACCUUCGAAAGUUCGAAAUGAUCCAAUCAAAUGAGUACUUCACAUAGUGUACCUGGACGACUCGACGACUCGUAUUACAGUAUGCAGCCGGCUAUUACUUUGUCAUGCUGAGAAACAUGGUUGUUAUUCCGGUGGUGGGUGAGUACAAAUUUCUACCAUGAAGUACUAUGCUACGUAAAUGAAUAAUGUAUUAAUGAUAUUACGUACGUAAGUCGUUGUUCAAUUGUUUAUCAUUUAUGCAUUUACCUAUCUAUUGUCGAUAGGUAAUUUAGCUCUAAGCCAUCUUGGUGCUUGCUAAACCAACCCCUGUUGACUACCAACCUGUUCAAAUUAUGACCCAAUCUUUUGUUAUUUUUAAUCGAAUGUUCGUCCAUUUAUGAGAUCGAUUCCACGAUUAUUUUUCCUGGGGUUAUUUUCUUUAUGGGGCUUUUAAAUAAUUUCAAGUAUUUACUUAUGUUGUCAAUUUUUUUUAUUCCUACACAAAUUUCGUUGGGUCGUCAUUAUACAAGUUUUCAUCCAUGUUGCUCAUUUCUACAGCCAUUACAUUUCAGCUUCUUGAAUGUUGAGCGAAAAUCUACCGAGCAAAAUAUAUUGUCGGUUUUUCACCUUGACCAUUCAACAGAUGUUGUGCACUCGGAUGGUAUUUUGCUAUCAUAGAUAUCUACGUAAAUGUAUCUAACAGUAUACAGUACACAUUACAUGUACGCCAAGUUGCCCAGAUAUCUACAUAUUAAUAUAACUACCCCUUUUACAAAACAACCAAAUUCGUAAUCACUCAGCGGAACCAUUGCGGAUGUAUACUUCCUACGAAAAUUAUAAUCAUCACUUUAUUCGUACUUUCAGAAACGAUUACGUUCAUGUGGCUACUGGCUACAAUGAAUGAGUCAUAUGCUCAUAUGUGUUUGUAUCGUAAAUGAAAUGGUAAGGAGAGGGGGGAGUAAAUAGUACACUUUGGUUCGGAUAAGUACUUCAUUUUAUCGGUUGUGUCUAAUUAAUUUACCUAUUUUAACAAUAGGCCUUUAUGAGUGUUGAUUAUAAACUCGGUGCAUAGCUGAAGAAAAACGUAAUUUAUUUUUCAAGAUAUAGCACGUGCGUUGAAAUGAGAAGUAGACCUGGGUGAAAAUGAUACAUAUUCGUUUCCUUUUUUAGUUUUAAUGGUGUAUCAAAAUGUUCUUAAUUGUAUUAAGGUUGCUUUUUAUGUUGAAGUUUUGCAUUUUUGAGCUCCAAUUUCCCCUUACAAGAGGUGGAAUUUUAUUUUUUUAAAAUAAUUCCUUACUUCUAUCUCUCCCUGAUUCCAAAAAAGUGGUGACAAGAGCCCCUUCCUUCGAUGAAAAUAUUUUUCAAAAAUGAGAAAAUUAAAUUCAUCCAGAAAAUUUAUAUUUCUGCAUCAGAAUUCUUUGAAAAUAUAAUUCUUAUGUCAAGAAUGAACCAACUUCGAUCCACAAUCACAAUACUACUUUGGUGACCUUACAUAGAGCCCCAAAGUUGUAAAAAUUUGAAAAAAAAAUAGAAUAGAUCAAAUUUUCUAAUUUUUGUUUGGAAAUUUCUCACAUUUGAACAUAAUUUUUUAAAGUAACCCCCACUUUGAGAAAAAACUUCCCUCGGUGCUCCGAACAAUGUUGUACUCCUUGAGGGGAGGGGGAGAAUGUUCAAAAUUAAAAAUUGAAGUAUCUGAACGUUUUUUGA